CAACAGCCAGCCGGGGCACCUAGUAGGAAGCUGGGAUUCAUUCCAGCCAACCAGCCCGCGUUUUUGAAUCCCGUGGUAUCAUUCUCGACCAAUAGAGAGCCGCUUCAUGCCACGUGACACUGACCCAUCAGCCAAUGGGGGAAAAGUCUAGUCGCAGGCUCAGCCAUCCCAUCUGCCACUGUUGGCCAGGCUGGGCGUUUGCCCCUGCGCACACUCUGCCAACCAAUCAUAGGUACCCAAAAGUUGAGAAGCUCUGGAUUGGAGUGCAUCUGAUAGAAGUUGUCACAAAAAAAUACAGACCUUCAUUAAGAGUCAUCACUGAAGUGCAGUCCGGCAACGAUUACAUCUGAUAAACUGCGAGAUGCAGAAUCUAGGAUUCUUGAAGCUACUGUCAGACUUCCUGCUGCUGAAUAUUUCUCCGGGACGCACCUAGGAGGGCGGACACACAGCCAGCAUCUCUUUGGUCCAGGGGGCAGAACUAGCUCCAGACUCCGGAGCCCCUCUGGUCAGACUCAGCCAGACGCUGAGGUAUGACAUUAUUCCCUUUCCCUCUUAGGACUGUUUGUGGAAGAAGUGCUGUCCCUCAGCAAAACCCGAUGUUCUCCAUUAGUGGCUACAGGCUGGACACCGAAGCUCCUCAGAGCCCAGCAACUGCUGGUCAAAUUUAUUUAUAAACUGAAUCAGUCCAUUAUUAGAGAGUCCAGUGUUUUUUGUCGUUGUUAUUUUUUAAGAGAAUUACAUAUAUGGUAACAAUACUUGGUAACAUUGG